UUUCUAGGGGUCUAGUGGUUUAGACUCUGCACUUAAACUGCAGGAGGCACAGGUUCAAUCCCUGGCUGGGGAA
rnacentral:tRNA from 1 species